rnacentral:snRNA from 10 species
UUGCUUUGGCGGCACAUAUACCAAAAUCGGAAUGAUACAGAGAAGAUCAGCAUGGCAGCUACACAAAGAUAUUAACAAAUUUCAUGAAGCAUUUUAUAUAUUG